CCUACGGGAGGCAGCAGUGGGGAAUAUUGGACAAUGGGGGCAACCCUGAUCCAGCCAUGCCGCGUGUGUGAAGAAGGCCCUCGGGUUGUAAAGCACUUUCAGUGAGGAAGAACGCCUGGUGGUUAAUACCCAUCAGGAAAGACAUCACUCACAGAAGAAGCACCGGCUAACUCCGUGCCAGCAGCCGCGGUAAUACGGAGGGUGCGAGCGUUAAUCGGAAUUACUGGGCGUAAAGCGCGCGUAGGUGGCUUGAUAAGCCGGUUGUGAAAGCCCCGGGCUCAACCUGGGAACAGCAUCCGGAACUGUCAAGCUAGAGUGCAGGAGAGGAAGGUAGAAUUCCCGGUGUAGCGGUGAAAUGCGUAGAGAUCGGGAGGAAUACCAGUGGCGAAGGCGGCCUUCUGGACUGACACUGACACUGAGGUGCGAAAGCGUGGGUAGCAAACAGGAUUAGAUACCCGGGUAGUC
rnacentral:rRNA from 1 species